rnacentral:ncRNA from 1 species
GCCGGGUGGGCGCGUCGGGGCCGUUCGCGCGGUCGUGCGCGCGUUCCGUCCACCGGCGGUGUAGUGUGACCUGAUAAUACGUCAACUCAUCGAGGUUGACAAUCUGCUUAAUAGGACAAUUUGUGUUCAGCAAAAUGAGAUUGAGCGAUAACCGGUCCGUGAUGCCCUUAGAUGUUCUGGGCUGCACGCGCGCUACAAUGUGAGCAGCAGCGUGUACCCUACGCCAAAAGGCGCGGGAAAUCACUGAAAUGCUCAUUUAGUCGGGAUUAUGGAUUGAAAUGGUCCAUAUGAACCUGGAAUUCCCAGUAAGUGCUGGUCAUUAGCUAGCGUUGAUUACGUCCCUGCCCUUUGUAC